UACGUAGGGUGCGAGCGUUAAUCGGAAUUACUGGGCGUAAAGCGUGCGCAGGCGGUUCUGCAAGUCAGAUGUGAAAUCCCCGGGCUUAACCUGGGAACUGCGUUUGAAACUACGGAGCUAGAGUGCGGCAGAGGGGGGUGGAAUUCCACGUGUAGCAGUGAAAUGCGUAGAUAUGUGGAGGAACACCGAUGGCGAAGGCAGCCCCCUGGGCCGACACUGACGCUGAGUGAGCGAAAGCCAGGGGAGCAAACGGG
rnacentral:rRNA from 1 species